GUGAAAAUUUAUAGUAAAAUAUCUGAACAGUGGUUCAUAAAAAUAUAUAAACCUUAGAGUAGGAAACAAAUUAGUGAGAAAAGGUUGUGUUUGCAUUGAUAUUUGAUUAUCUGUGACCUUUCCAAGGUUCUCAUAACCAUUGUAUUUUGUUUGUCUUUUUAACUCAGCAGAUUCUUCUCUAUCCCUUAUUCUAAAUGUUGUUUACUCAUCUCUGUACCUUAACUAAUAUUUAUAUUCUAUAUUUUUUCUUGCUGCUGUUAGUCAUUUCUUAUAACUCUAAUUUAUAGCCCUAGUUUUUUGUCUAAUAGUAUUACUAUUGAGAAGAAAGCUUAAAGGAAUACAUCUGGUUUGUGAAAUGCUAGAGCUUCAGUUGGCAUGGAUUUGGAGUCCUGAAAUGCCGCCUUAUAGGCAAUCAUAUUUUCUUGCCAAUUAUUUUUUCAGAGUGUUAGCCUCAAUACAACAUCAUGUGUUUAUCACUGCAAAAUUCACUUCUUAAUGCAAACUUCUUCCUGUGCUCAGAUACCAGAAUCAGUGCCAAUGAUCUCAUAGGCAUUUUAGGAAAAAGCAGCUCUAUUCUUUUGACAAAUAAGGGGCAUUUAAGUGGGAGGCAGUAACUCUACAUGUAGCAAUGAUGAGUGAAGCCCAGGACAUAGAGGAAAUCACAAAACCAAACUGAAAAU
rnacentral:lncRNA from 1 species